rnacentral:rRNA from 1 species
CUGUACAGUUCAGAGUUUGAUCCUGGCUCAGAACGAACGCUGGCGGCAGGCUUAACACAUGCAAGUUGAACGAGAAUAUAUGAUAGCUUGCUAUUAUGUAUGAGAGUAGCGCACGGGUGAGUAACACGUGGGAACGUACCAUUUAGUGGGGGAUAACAUUUGGAAACGGAUGCUAAUACCGCAUGAGCCCUAAGGGGGAAAGAUUUAUCGCUAAAUGAUCGGCCCGCGGUAGAUUAGGUAGUUGGUGGGGUAACGGCCUACCAAGCCAACGAUCUAUAGCUGGUCUGAGAGGACGACCAGCCACAUUGGGACUGAGACACGGCCCAA